AUGAACGCUAGCUACAGGCUUAACACAUGCAAGUCGAGGGGCAGCAUGAACUUAGCUUGCUAAGUUUGAUGGCGACCGGCGCACGGGUGAGUAACACGUAUCCAACCUGCCGAUGACUCGGGGAUAGCCUUUCGAAAGAAAGAUUAAUACCCGAUGGCAUAGUUCUUCCGCAUGGUAGAACUAUUAAAGAAUUUCGGUCAUCGAUGGGGAUGCGUUCCAUUAGGUUGUUGGCGGGGUAACGGCCCACCAAGCCUUCGAUGGAUAGGGGUUCUGAGAGGAAGGUCCCCCACAUUGGAACUGAGACACGGUCCAAACUCCUACGGGAGGCAGCAGUGAGGAAUAUUGGUCAAUGGACGAGAGUCUGAACCAGCCAAGUAGCGUGAAGGAUGACUGCCCUAUGGGUUGUAAACUUCUUUUAUACGGGAAUAAAGUGAGGCACGUGUGCCUUUUUGUAUGUACCGUAUGAAUAAGGAUCGGCUAACUCCGUGCCAGCAGCCGCGGUAAUACGGAGGAUCCGAGCGUUAUCCGGAUUUAUUGGGUUUAAAGGGAGCGUAGGCGGACGCUUAAGUCAGUUGUGAAAGUUUGCGGCUCAACCGUAAAAUUGCAGUUGAUACUGGGUGUCUUGAGUACAGUAGAGGCAGGCGGAAUUCGUGGUGUAGCGGUGAAAUGCUUAGAUAUCACGAAGAACUCCGAUUGCGAAGGCAGCCUGCUGGACUGUAACUGACGCUGAUGCUCGAAAGUGUGGGUAUCAAACAGGAUUAGAUACCCUGGUAGUCCACACAGUAAACGAUGAAUACUCGCUGUUUGCGAUAUACAGUAAGCGGCCAAGCGAAAGCGUUAAGUAUUCCACCUGGGGAGUACGCCGGCAACGGUGAAACUCAAAGGAAUUGACGGGGGCCCGCACAAGCGGUGGAGCAUGUGGUUUAAUUCGAAGCAACGCGAAGAACCUUACCAGGUCUUGACAUCCCGAUGCUAUUUCUAGAGAUAGAAAGUUACUUCGGUACAUCGGUGACAGGUGGUGCAUGGUUGUCGUCAGCUCGUGUCGUGAGAUGUUGGGUUAAGUGCCAUAACGAGCGCAACCCUUAUCGAUAGUUACCAUCAGGUGAUGCUGGGGACUCUGUCGAGACUGCCGUCGUAAGAUGUGAGGAAGGUGGGGAUGACGUCAAAUCAGCACGGCCCUUACGUCCGGGGCUACACACGUGUUACAAUGGGGGGUACAGAAGGCAGCUACACGGCGACGUGAUGCUAAUCCCGAAAGCCUCUCUCAGUUCGGAUUGGAGUCUGCAACCCGACUCCAUGAAGCUGGAUUCGCUAGUAAUCGCGCAUCAGCCACGGCGCGGUGAAUACGUUCCCGGGCCUUGUACACACCGCCCGUCACACCACGAGAGUUUGUAACACCCGAAGUCGGUGAGGUAACCUUUUAGGAGCCAGCCGCCUAAGGUGGGAUAGAUGAUUGGGGUG
rnacentral:rRNA from 1 species